CGACGCUGGCGGCGUGCCUAAUACAUGCAAGUCGAACGAUGAAGCUUCUAGCUUGCUAGAAUGCUGAUUAGUGGCGCACGGGUGAGUAACGCAUAGGUCAUGUGCCUCUUAGUUUGGGAUAGCCAUUGGAAACGAUGAUUAAUACCAGAUACUCCCUACGGGGGAAAGAUUUAUCGCUAAGAGAUCAGCCUAUGUCCUAUCAGCUUGUUGGUAAGGUAAUGGCUUACCAAGGCUAUGACGGGUAUCCGGCCUGAGAGGGUGAACGGACACACUGGAACUGAGACACGGUCCAGACUCCUACGGGAGGCAGCAGUAGGGAAUAUUGCUCAAUGGGGGAAACCCUGAAGCAGCAACGCCGCGUGGAGGAUGAAGGUUUUAGGAUUGUAAACUCCUUUUGUUAGAGAAGAUAAUGACGGUAUCUAACGAAUAAGCACCGGCUAACUCCGUGCCAGCAGCCGCGGUAAUACGGAGGGUGCAAGCGUUACUCGGAAUCACUGGGCGUAAAGAGCGCGUAGGCGGGAUAGUCAGUCAGGUGUGAAAUCCUAUGGCUUAACCAUAGAACUGCAUUUGAAACUACUAUUCUAGAGUGUGGGAGAGGUAGGUGGAAUUCUUGGUGUAGGGGUAAAAUCCGUAGAGAUCAAGAGGAAUACUCAUUGCGAAGGCGACCUGCUGGAACAUUACUGACGCUGAUUGCGCGAAAGCGUGGGGAGCAAACAGGAUUAGAUACCCUGGUAGUCCACGCCCUAAACGAUGGAUGCUAGUUGUUGGAGGGCUUAGUCUCUCCAGUAAUGCAGCUAACGCAUUAAGCAUCCCGCCUGGGGAGUACGGUCGCAAGAUUAAAACUCAAAGGAAUAGACGGGGACCCGCACAAGCGGUGGAGCAUGUGGUUUAAUUCGAAGCUACACGAAGAACCUUACCUAGGCUUGACAUUGAGAGAAUCCGCUAGAAAUAGUGGAGUGUCUGGCUUGCCAGACCUUGAAAACAGGUGCUGCACGGCUGUCGUCAGCUCGUGUCGUGAGAUGUUGGGUUAAGUCCCGCAACGAGCGCAACCCCCUUUCUUAGUUGCUAACAGGUCAUGCUGAGAACUCUAAGGAUACUGCCUCCGUAAGGAGGAGGAAGGUGGGGACGACGUCAAGUCAUCAUGGCCCUUACGCCUAGGGCUACACACGUGCUACAAUGGGGUGCACAAAGAGAAGCAAUACUGCGAAGUGGAGCCAAUCUUCAAAACACCUCUCAGUUCGGAUUGUAGGCUGCAACUCGCCUGCAUGAAGCUGGAAUCGCUAGUAAUCGCAAAUCAGCCAUGUUGCGGUGAAUACGUUCCCGGGUCUUGUACUCACCGCCCGUCACACCAUGGGAGUUGUGUUUGCCUUAAGUCAGGAUGCUAAAUUGGCUACUGCCCACGGCACACACAGCG
rnacentral:rRNA from 1 species